UAGUAUUGGCCCAGAAAGAGCUUUAUUCUGGACUUAGCGAAAGUAAAGUCUACUUGAACCGGUAGAAUCAAAUUAACCCAUAGAAAAUAAAACGACGGCGUAUCAAGCGUUCCAAAACAGUAACGAGUGAUUGAGACUUUUUCGUCCACGUUGGAUAGGUCAGCUAGCAUACAACGUGCUCGACAAAAUUCGUCUGAGAGCUCCUAAAAGUAAAAACCUCUCUACUCCUACCCAUGAAACUGAGACGAGUCCUCGGUUCCAUAUCGAAUCUCUCUACAGAAAGGCUCUCCUUUUCUUCUUCCCGUUGCCCAUCUCGACACAUUUCCACCGCCCGUUCAUCUUCUUCACAACGAAACGCCGGAAGCAAGCUCUCGGAAUCGUUACCAGGGAACCACAUCAAAUGGGCGUCGCUAGGUUCAGUCAGAAACUCGAGGUUCGCAUCUGGGUUCACACCGUUGCAUGCAGCCAAAGCCGUUGGAUUCGAUCAUGGAUCUGGAGAGAGCCAAGACUAAAUCCCCGGAGGAGCUCACUUCGAUCUGGGACGAUUAUCACUUAGGACGAGGUCAUAUCGGGAUGACAAUGAAAGGGUUUUGUCCUUUUGUGCAGAUUGACAACGAUGAAGAAAUUAACUCAGGGAAUGUCUGAGCACAACAAAGCCAUGUCGGCUGUUAAGACGGAUGAAGUAGAAGGGCAAGCGUUGUGAGUACAUUAACCUCAAAACCGUUAGCCUCAGCAGCAGCAACAGCAAUCUGGUUUGUUGUUAAUAAUUAGCAUCCAUGGUAGGAGGAUUACAUGACUAUGUUUGUGUACUUCUCUUUGUCAGUAGGAGUUUUGGUAUGGUACUUGCUAGAGUUUGGGGACUUGUUGUAUCAGAACAAAUCGCAUGUAUGUUUUAUUUUUAUUUUCCAUCAAAUCAAAACGACAGUUCAAGUACUGAUGACCUUAAAUAUAAACCUUGAGUACUCUGAUGAAAGAC